CUCAGCCAAUCAUAUCUCACCACACUGUCACUGUGCCCCAAUGAAAGCUGUGCCUGAUGAGGUAACUCAGAAGGAACUGGGCCGUUAGGACUUCCGGGGUAAGCAGUUCCUUCCUGCUGUCUCACGGGUGUUCUGGGAGACAUCUUAGAUCUAAUGAGGACGCUUCGAGGAGUCGCAGGAGCUUGUGGCGAGCUUGUGGCGCCUCGCUCUCCAUCCCACACUUUCCUUCAUGAGGUUGAUCUCCACACCCCCGCACCAUUCUGACCUGUGCUGUCUGGAGGAUGGCUCAUACAGGGGCUGGAAGUCGGCAAAGAGUUCCCAGGGGAAGGCUUUGGCAUCCACAUUAUUCCUGCCUGGAAGCUGACUUGAAAACAGGAAGCUCAGAGCUUCACAUGAAGAAUGAUGGGACAGAAAGACACAGAGGACCUGACAGCACCAACCAGUAACUGUGCCAGCCCCCGGCUGUUGGCCCGCGCACUUCUCAUUAUUUGAGAAAAAUGAAGUCGGGCUCAGCAGCUUAAGUCUCUUAUAGUUGAAUUUGCUGUUGUCUGUAACAAAACUUGUUCUUAAAUUAUACAAG
rnacentral:lncRNA from 1 species